rnacentral:rRNA from 1 species
UACAGAGGCCCCAAGCGUUACUGAGAAUCACUGGGUUAAAGGGUGCGUAGGUGGCGCGUUAAGUCCGUUGUGAAAGCCCUGGGCUCAACCCAGGAACUGCUUCGGAUACUGGCGCGCUUGAGGCUAGUAGGGGUCACUGGAACUGACGGUGGAGCGGUGAAAUGCGUAGAGAUCGGAAAGAACACCAACGGCGAAGGCACUCUGCUGGGCCGACACUGACACUGAGAGACGAAAGCUAGGGGGAGCGAAAUGGG